rnacentral:rRNA from 1 species
AAUGGGGGCAACCCUGAUCCAGCCAUGCCGCGUGCAGGAUGAAGGCCUUCGGGUUGUAAACUGCUUUUGUACGGAACGAAAAGCUCUCCUCUAAUAAAGGGGGGUCAUGACGGUACCGUAAGAAUAAGCACCGGCUAACUACGUGCCAGCAGCCGCGGUAAUACGUAGGGUGCAAGCGUUAAUCGGAAUUACUGGGCGUAAAGCGUGCGCAGGCGGUUUUGUAAGACAGAGGUGAAAUCCCCGGGCUCAACCUGGGAACUGCCUUUGUGACUGCAAGGCUGGAGUGCGGCAGAGGGGGAUGGAAUUCCGCGUGUAGCAGUGAAAUGCGUAGAUAUGCGGAGGAACACCGAUGGCGAAGGCAAUCCCCUGGGCCUGCACUGACGCUCAUGCACGAAAGCGUGGGGAGCAAA